CAAUCUACCUAUAACUGGGGGAAGUAGCCUUCCGAAAGGAAGAUUAAACCGCAUGAUAUCACGAAGCGGCAUCGUUUUGUGAUCAAAUCUCCGGAGGUUAUAGAUGAGCAUGCGUGACAUUAGCUAGUUGGUGAGGUAACGGCUCACCAAGGCGACGAUGUCUAGGGGGUCUGAGAGGAUGAUCCCCCACACUGGUACUGAGACACGGACCAG
rnacentral:rRNA from 1 species